rnacentral:lncRNA from 1 species
UAUAUAUACACACACACAUUCUCCCUUAUUUUCACAAGAAGUCAAUAAGGAAUAAAUACUUUUAAAACCAUUUUUGUUGUUGUUGUAAAUAACAUAAAAUAUGGCUAACAGCAGCUUCCAUAAAUAGGGGUCCAUUUCCUUGCAUAACAAGAAAUCUGAAUGUAGACAGUACCAGGGGUGCUUUGGGGAGACUCAAUGAUGGUAGGACACAAGGUUGGCACCUCUGUGAUUCUCUUAGUCUUCCCCCUCAUAGUCAUGAAAUGGCUGCAGCAGUACCAAGCAUCGCAUCUUAGCACGGCUGCGUGCAAAGCAGAGUGCAGGAAGCAGCAC